AACGAACGCUGGCGGCGCGUCUUAAGCAUGCAAGUCGAACGGCAAGAGAGGAGCUUGCUUCUCUCCCAGAGUGGCGGACUGGUGAGGAACACGUGGGUAAUCUACCCUUAAGAUGGGGAUAGCUGCUAGAAAUAGCAGGUAAUACCGAAUACACUCGGCAUAUCACAAGAGGUGUUGAGGAAAGGAAGCUACGGCUUCGCUUGAGGAUGAGCUUGCGUCCCAUUAGCUAGUUGGUGAGGUAAAGGCCCACCAAGGCGACGAUGGGUAUCCGGCCUGAGAGGGUGAACGGACACAUUGGGACUGAGAUACGGCCCAAACUCCUACGGGAGGCAGCAGCUAAGAAUAUUCCGCAAUGGACGGAAGUCUGACGGAGCGACGCCGCGUGGAUGAAGAAGGCUGAAAAGUUGUAAAAUCCUUUUGUUGAUGAAGAAUAAGGGUGAGAGGGAAUGCUCAUCUGAUGACGGUAAUCGACGAAUAAGCCCCGGCUAAUUACGUG
rnacentral:rRNA from 1 species